rnacentral:rRNA from 1 species
UACGUAGGGUGCAAGCGUUAAUCGGAAUUACUGGGCGUAAAGCGUGCGCAGGCGGUGAUGUAAGACAGAUGUGAAAUCCCCGGGCUCAACCUGGGAACUGCAUUUGUGACUGCAUCGCUAGAGUACGGCAGAGGGGGAUGGAAUUCCGCGUGUAGCAGUGAAAUGCGUAGAUAUGCGGAGGAACACCGAUGGCGAAGGCAAUCCCCUGGGCCUGUAACGUGA